UUCAAUAUUAAAUUUUAUAAUCCGUUUCGUAAAGAAUUACGGUGAUUGCGUGAUGGUACGCUAGUAUCACCAUGCAUUUAAAAUUAGAUUGUGCAUAUUUAAUUAAAUACUCUCUUAUGAAGUGUACAAAAAUAAAAAUGCAAAAUUAUUUUAUUGCAAAAUCGUGACCAAUAACAUUAUGUCCUGUGUCACCUGGAAGUGAGGAUUGAAUGUGGGUGGCUUAAGUUAAACCUCCUUGACCCUCAUCCCUCUCUUAUUAUCUUGGUUGGCUAACUGCAAAUGGAGCAACCGCCCGCCCACUUCUCACCUGGACAACAUUUUUUUAAAAUUGUUGUAAAAACAAGCAACGUUUGUCGACGUCCAAAUGAAAAUGCAAAUGCCAGGCAUUGGAGCUCUCCGUGCCGGCUCUAUCACCAGGAAAGUAACAAGAUGACUGCGAGAAAACUCAUUGAAUCGACUGAUUUGCUGCUGGCACAUAUUUUUCAGAGUUAACAAACAGAAUUUCUGGCAUGGACACAUUUUUUGACACUUCGGGACACUGGCAACUGGACGUUUACAAUCUUUGCCUGACGCCAUGGCAAUCAGUAUAACAAAUGCUUUUUUCAUUUAACUUUUAAGUUUUGAUAAUUUUGCUGGAACUACAUGAAUCUGGCGCUUGAUGGUCUGUGUUCUUUUAAUCCAUAGCUAGUUUGCUCAAUAUUUUGUUUCGUAAAUGAAGUUUGACUAUUUCCAUAUAAAAUAUCAAAAAGGGGAAAUAUUGUAAAGUCUGCAUUACCCAUUGAAAAUGAGUAAAAAGUGUAUAUUGUAUUUGUGCAACAA